UGGAUCCAGACUUUGAUUAUGCUCAGGAUGAACGCUAGCUACAGGCUUAACACAUGCAAGUCGAGGGGAAACGACAUCGAAAGCUUGCUUUUGAUGGGCGUCGACCGGCGCACGGGUGAGUAACGCGUAUCCAACCUGCCCAUCACUUGGGGAUAACCUUGCGAAAGUAAGACUAAUACCCAAUGACGUCUCUAGAAGACAUCUGAAAGAGAUUAAAGAUUUAUCGGUGAUGGAUGGGGAUGCGUCUGAUUAGCUUGUUGGCGGGGUAACGGCCCACCAAGGCAACGAUCAGUAGGGGUUCUGAGAGGAAGGUCCCCCACAUUGGAACUGAGACACGGUCCAAACUCCUACGGGAGGCAGCAGUGAGGAAUAUUGGUCAAUGGGCGAGAGCCUGAACCAGCCAAGUAGCGUGCAGGAUGACGGCCCUAUGGGUUGUAAACUGCUUUUAUAAGGGAAUAAAGUGAGUCUCGUGAGACUUUUUGCAUGUACCUUAUGAAUAAGGACCGGCUAAUUCCGUGCCGGCAGCCGCGGUAAUACGGAAGGUCCGGGCGUUAUCCGGAUUUAUUGGGUUUAAAGGGAGCGUAGGCCGGGGAUUAAGCGUGUUGUGAAAUGUAGACGCUCGACGUCUGCACUGCAGCGCGAACUGGUUUCCUUGAGUACGCACAAAGUGGGCGGAAUUCGUGGUGUAGCGGUGAAAUGCUUAGAUAUCACGAAGAACUCCGAUUGCGAAGGCAGCUCACUGGAGCGCAACUGACGCUGAAGCUCGAAAGUGCGGGUAUCGAACAGGAUUAGAUACCCUGGUAGUCCGCACGGUAAACGAUGGAUGCCCGCUGUUGGUCUGAAUAGGUCAGCGGCCAAGCGAAAGCAUUAAGCAUCCCACCUGGGGAGUACGCCGGCAACGGUGCAACUCAAAUGAAUUGACGGA
rnacentral:rRNA from 1 species